AUGUCAAAAAUGAGCAACCUAAAAGCAAAACCAGAAUUUGUGUGCACUCUGCCAAAAAGUGCACUGGACAAGCUUAUUCAGGUUAGGAAAGCCUUCCAAAACACUCUCUCUGAAAAUCAACUUUUAAAAGAGGGUACAAAGACAGCCAGACAGCAAAUCAAACAGCUGAUGGCCCAAAUUUCACUGGUGCGUGCCAAGCUGGACCAGUAUGAGAUCCAAGCUGGAAAACUCACUGAUGAAUCAGUGUCACGCAAAGUGGAAAUGAGCAGCGCCACCAAAGAAAAAGGGGAUCAGACUUACUCAGGUCAGGAAAAGACCAUCACCUUUGACCUUGAGAUGAACCGUCUGAAACAGCAGCUUCAGCAGAGGGACAGCGAAAUCCUGAUCCUCAAACAGGAGAAGGACAGUCUGUCUGCUGAACUUGCACAGCUUCGGACACACGAGAAACCAACAUUUGUGUGCACUCUGCCAAAGAGUACACUGGACGACCUUAUUCAGGUUAGGAAAGCCUUCCUAAAAGCUCUGUCUGAAAAUAAACUUUUAAAAGAGGAUUCAAAGACAGCCAGACAGCAAGUCAAACAGCUGAUGGCACAAAUUUCAAUGAUGCGUACCAAGCUGGACCAAUAUAAGAUCCAAGCUGGAGAAGAAAGAGAGGAUCAGACUUGUUCAGAUCAGGCAAAGAUCAUAACCUUUGACCUUGAGAUGAACUGUCUGAAAGAGCAGCUUCGGCAGAGGGACAGCGAAAUCCUGAUCCUGAAACAGGAGAAGGAAAGUCUGUCUGCUGAGCUCGCACAGCUUCAGAAACACGAGGCCUCUCUGAAAGAAACUCUGUGGAAUGAGAAAACACACAGAGAGAAUCUGGAGCAGGAGAAGAAAGUCCAGCAGGAAGAAAAUAAGGAAGUCCUGGAAGAGCAGAAAGUGAUGAAGAACACAGAAGACAUGCAGAAAAAAACGGACGAGCAGACCAAAGAAUUAGCGCAGGCAAAGACAGAGGCAGUAGAGACGGCAACCCCAGAGUCGUCCUCAUCAAAGGCUGAAAUAUCAUCACUGGAGAAAACACAGAAAAUGGAGGAAAAGUUGUGUGUCAACAGACUGAUCCAGUUGGUGGUUUCACAGGCCAUAGAAAAAGUCUCCUCUAAAUACAAGCUCUUCACAGAGCGCCUCACUCCUGACUGCAUCAGCGAUCGCCUGAUUCAGAAAAUCUGGCCUGAAAUCGAGCUGAAACAUUUGGAUCUGUCCCCAAAACGGCUGAAAAAUCUUGACAAGGCCAUUCUCAAGGAUCUAUGCAUAGCACACAGCUGCAAGGACAAACAUUUGAUUAUGAAGCUGAGGGAACAGCUUGAUAAUAUUACUGUCCCAGCCUUCACCAAAAAGCUGCUGUCAUUACCAAGAAGAGUCCUCAGUGUCUCUAAACACAGAGAAGAGUACAAGGACGUGGUGAAACACGUCACUCAAGAUCUGGUAAUGCACGCUAUGAGCCAAGAAAAUGAGACGACAACAUGGCGUCCAGGAACAUCAGAUUUUAUUAUACAGAGGCUUUCCCACAAGAUCUGGAACAAAAUUCUGUCCAAAAACUACAAAAUGUCCUUGGAGAACAUUGAACAACUCGCCCUGUCAGUAUACAACGAACUCCAUGACAGGUGGGAUUCUCCAGGACUCUUAAUGAAGUCGAGCAACCCAGUGGUUGACGAAGCAAUCGUCAAAACCUUCAAGAAACAUGCCAAACUGAGGAGCCGAAACAUCAUCUUUAGGGCUUUCUCGUGUGCACGCUAA
ensembl:lncRNA